GGGUAAGUGGCGAAAUUGGUAAACGCAUCACACUCAAAAUGUGACGGAUAAUUCCCUGAGGGUUCGAGUCCCUCCUUACCCA
rnacentral:tRNA from 1 species